UACAGAGACCUCAAGCGUUAUCCGGAAUCAUUGGGCGUAAAGCGUUCCGAUCGGUGGUUUAGUGUGUCUGAAGUGAAAGACCGAAGCUUAACUUCGUGUUUGCUUUGGAAACUGCUAAACUAGAAGAGUAAAGAGGUGGCUGGAACUUAACAAGUAGCGGUGAAAUGCGUUGAUAUGUUAGGGAACACCAAAAGCGAAAGCAGGCCACUGGGUACUUCUUGACACUGCUAGGACGAAAGCGUGGGGAGCGAAUGGG
rnacentral:rRNA from 1 species